rnacentral:tRNA from 1 species
GGGCGAAUGGUUUAGUGGUAUAAUACUCCCUUAGCAUGUGUUGAAUUAUCAGCAUCACGCUUGGGAGUGGUCCGGGGUUCGAUUCCCCGUUUGUCCA